CUCAGGUAACGAAAGACCGUACUCGAAACCGACACAGGUGGUCAGGUAGAGAAUACCAAGGCGCUUGAGAGAACUCGGGUGAAGGAACUAGGCAAAAUAGCACCGUAACUUCGGGAGAAGGUGCGCUCUUGAUGGUGAUGAAACUUGCUUUCAAAGCUGUCGGGAGCCGAAGUAACCAGGCCGCUGCGACUGUUUAUUAAAAACACAGCACUCUGCAAACUCGUAAGAGGACGUAUAGGGUGUGACGCCUGCCCGGUGCCGGAAGGUUAAUUGAUGGGGUUAGCGCAAGCGAAGCUCUUGAUCGAAGCCCCGGUAAACGGCGGCCGUAACUAUAACGGUCCUAAGGUAGCGAAAUUCCUUGUCGGGUAAGUUCCGACCUGCACGAAUGGCGUAACGAUGGCGGCGCUGUCUCCACCCGAGACUCAGUGAAAUUGGAAUCGCUGUUAAGAUGCAGUGUACCCGCGGCUAGACGGAAAGACCCCGUGAACCUUUACUAUAGCUUGGCACUGAACUUUGAAUCUACUUGUGUAGGAUAGGUGGGAGGCUUUGAAGCGUGGACGCUAGUCUGCGUGGAGCCAUCCUUGAAAUACCACCCUGGUAUAUUUGAGGUUCUAACUCCGGCCCGUUAUCCGGGUCGAGGACAGUGUCUGGUGGGUAGUUUGACUGGGGCGGUCUCCUCCCAAAGAGUAACGGAGGAGCACGAAGGUACCCUCGGCAUGGUCGGAAAUCAUGCUAUGAGUGCAAAGGCAUAAGGGUGCUUGACUGCGAGACUUACAAGUCGAGCAGGUACGAAAGUAGGUCUUAGUGAUCCGGUGGUUCUGUAUGGAAGGGCCAUCGCUCAACGGAUAAAAGGUACUCCGGGGAUAACAGGCUGAUACCGCCCAAGAGUUCACAUCGACGGCGGUGUUUGGCACCUCGAUGUCGGCUCAUCACAUCCUGGGGCUGAAGCAGGUCCCAAGGGUAUGGCUGUUCGCCAUUUAAAGUGGUACGCGAGCUGGGUUUAGAACGUCGUGAGACAGUUUGGUCCCUAUCUGCCGUGGGCGUUGGAAAUUUGAGGAGAGCUGCUCCUAGUACGAGAGGACCGGAGUGGACGAACCUCUGGUGUUCGGGUUGUCACGCCAGUGGCAUUGCCCGGUAGCUAUGUUCGGACAGGAUAACCGCUGAAAGCAUCUAAGCGGGAAGCCCCCUCCAAGAUGAGAUUUCCCUGGGUCCUUGAGGCCCCUGAAGGGCUGUUUUAGACCAAGACGUUGAUAGGCCGGGUGUGUAAGCGUCGCGAGGCGUUGAGCUAACCGGUACUAAUUGCCCGUGAGGCUUGACC
rnacentral:rRNA from 1 species